GGGGUGCUCGAGUGGCGAACGGGUGAGUAACACGUGAGUAACCUGCCCUUGACUUUGGGAUAACUUCAGGAAACUGGGGCUAAUACCGGAUAGGAGCUCCUGCUGCAUGGUGGGGGUUGGAAAGUUUCGGCGGUUGGGGAUGGACUCGCGGCUUAUCAGCUUGUUGGUGGGGUAGUGGCCUACCAAGGCGGCGACGGGUAGCCGGCCUGAGAGGGUGUACGGCCACAUUGGGACUGAGAUACGGCCCAG
rnacentral:rRNA from 1 species